GCCUCUCCCUCCUUCCCUACAGAGAGGUCUGAGACUCUCCCUCCUCCCCUACAGAGAGGUCGGAGCCUCCCCCAGUCCUCCAGCAGGAGAGGAGGAGAGACUCACACUACUACUACUACUACUGAGAACCAUCCCACACAAACCAAGCCAGAGAGAGAGCAAACUAGGUCUCCCUCUCUCCCUUUGGCUUGCCUCCUCCCUCCACUCCUCCCCGCCUCCCUCCACUCCUCCCCGCCUCCCUCCACUCCUCCUUGUCUGCCUCCCUCCACUCCUCCCUCCCUCCACUCCUCCUUGUCUGCCUCCCUCCACUCCUCCCUGUCUGCCUCACUCCACUCCUCCCUCCCUCCACUCCUCGUCUGCCUCCUUCCACUCCUCCCUCCCUCCACUCCUCCCUGUCUGCCUCCCUCCACUCCUCCUUGUCUGCCUCCCUCCACUCCUCCCUGUCUGCCUCCCUCCCGUCUGCCUCCUUCCACUCCUCCCUCGUCUGCCUCCCUCCCUCCACUCCUCCUUGUCUGCCUCCCUCCACUCCUCCCUGUCUGCCUCCCUCCACUCCUCCCUGUCUGCCUCCCUCCACUCCUCCCUGUCUGCCUCCCUCCACUCCUCCCUCCACUCCUCCCUGUCUGCCUCCCUCCACUCCUCCCUCCCUCCACUCCUCCCUGUCUGCCUCCCUCCACUCCUCCUUGUCUGCCUCCCUCCACUCCUCCCUGUCUGCCUCCCUCCCGUCUGCCUCCCUCCACUCCUCCCUCGUCUGCCUCCCUCCACUCCUCCCUAACCUCCACUCCUCCUUGUCUGCCUCCCUCCCGCCACUCCUCCCUCCCUCCACACCUCCGGUCUGCCUCCCUCCACUCCUCCCGUCUGCCUCCCUCCACUCCUCCUUGUCUGCCUCCCUCCUGCCACUCCUCCCUCCCACCACUCCUCCCUCCACACCUCCCUCCUCGCCUCCCUCCACUCCACCUUGUCUGCCUCCCUCCACUCCUCCUUGUCUGCCUCCCUCCCGCCACUCCUCCCUCCCUCCACACCUCCGGUCUGCCUCCCUCCACUCCUCCGGUCUGCCUCCCUCUACUCCUCCCGUCUGCCUCCCUCCACUCCUCCUUGUCUGCCUCCCUCCCGCCACUCCUCCCUCCACACCUCCCUCCUCGCCUCCCUCCCUCCCUCCACUCCACCUUGUCUGCAUCCCUCCACUCCUCCCUCCACACCUCCCACUACUCCUCCCUCCACUCCUACCAAACAAAACAAUAA
ensembl:lncRNA